GAGUUUGAUCCUGGCUCAGAUUGAACGCUGGCGGCAUGCCUUACACAUGCAAGUCGAACGGCAGCACGGGAGCAAUCCUGGUGGCGAGUGGCGAACGGGUGAGUAAUGUAUCGGAACGUACCUUUCAGUGGGGGAUAACGUAGCGAAAGUUACGCUAAUACCGCAUAUUCUGUGAGCAGGAAAGCAGGGGAUCGCAAGACCUUGCGCUGAUUGAGCGGCCGAUAUCAGAUUAGCUAGUUGGUGAGGUAAAGGCUCACCAAGGCGACGAUCUGUAGCGGGUCUGAGAGGAUGAUCCGCCACACUGGAACUGAGACACGGUCCAGACUCCUACAGGAGGCAGCAGUGGGGAAUUUUGGACAAUGGGCGCAAGCCUGAUCCAGCCAUGCCGCGUGAGUGAAGAAGGCCUUCGGGUUGUAAAGCUCUUUCGGCCGGGAAGAAAUCGCAUGGAUUAAUACUCUGUGCGGAUGACGGUACCGGCAUAAGAAGCACCGGCUAACUACGUGCCAGCAGCCGCGGUAAUAC
rnacentral:rRNA from 1 species